rnacentral:rRNA from 1 species
UACGGAGGGGGCGAGCGUUAUUCGGAAUUAUUGGGCGUAAAGGGCGCGUAGGCGGGCGGUCAAGUCAGAGGUGAAAUCCCACGGCUCAACCGUGGAAGUGCCCCUGAUACUGACUGUCUCGAGGGAGGUAGGGGCGUGCGGAACUUCCGGUGGAGCGGUGAAAUGCGUAGAUAUCGGAAGGAACACCGAUGGCGAAAGCAGCGCGCUGGACCUCUACUGACGCUGAGGCGCGAAAGCCAGGGGAGCAAACGGG